UACAGAGACUGCAAGCGUUAUUCGGAUUCACUGGGCGUAAAGGGCGCGUAGGCGGCCUGGCAAGUGGAAGGUGAAAUCCCUCGGCUUAACCGAGGAACUGCCCUCCAAACUGCUUGGCUUGAGACCGGGAGAGGUGAGUGGAAUUCCCAGUGUAGCGGUGAAAUGCGUAGAUAUCAGGAGGAACACCAAUAGCGAAGGCAGCUCGCUGGGACGGUACUGACGCUAAGGCGCGAAAGCGUGGGGAGCGAACGAGG
rnacentral:rRNA from 1 species